CAUGCGUGAGUGCCCGAUUUGGGCUGCAUUUAUUAGAUUGAAACCAAUAUUUGCGUUGAGUCAUAAUAACUUUGCAUAUCGUUUUUUAAGCGAUGAAUCAAUUGAGUUUCUGCCCUAUCAGCUUUGGAUGGUAGGGUAUUGGCCUACCAUGGCAGUAACGGGUACGAAGAGUUAGGGCUCGAUCUCUGAGAAGGGGCAUGAGAAAUGGCCACUACAUCCAAGGAAGGCAGCAGGSGCGUAAAUUACCCAAUUCUAAUUCAGAGAGGUAGUGACAAGAAAUAACGAUUCCGGGCUUUUAAAAGUUUGGAAAUUGGAAUGAAAACAAUUUAAAUCCCUUAUUGAGGAUCCAACCCUGGGCAAGUCUGGUGCCAGCAGCCGCGGUAAUUCCAGCAGGGUUAGUGUAUACUUACGUUGUUGCAGUUAAAAAGCUCGUAGUUGGAUUUCCGAGUGCAUUUUGUAUAAUGCGCUUGCUGUUGUGGGUUUGGUGUGCUGGCAUUAAGUUGUUGGUGCAUUGUCGCUCGCAUCGUUUACUGUGAAAAAAUUAGAGUGUUCAAAGCAUGUGUUUACAUUUGAAUA
rnacentral:rRNA from 1 species